GGGAAAGUAUAUAAGAAACCUCGUGGCUGUCUAGAAAAGAAAACUAAAAGUGCUUAUUGUUUGUGAAAGAAAUCUCUAGCUCCAAGGGUAUGAAGAAGAAGAAACCCUGCCCUUGGAGAAAGAGAACAACAACAGCAAAUCGUGGCGAAUUACGUGGUGGUCGUAACACUUGCCCAACGACUCGUCCAUUCCCCAAAGGAAGGUUUCUCUCGGUAACCAGACAAUCAAUUAUAAGUAGCUGCUUGCUGCUUGUCUAUACACACCUCAUUCCGCCCGGAAUCAGCGUGCCGUAAUUACGAAUUCACCAAGUAGUAGUAGUAGUCGUAGUAGUAGACACACACACAACAAAGAGAGAGAAGGGGGCCAGCAUCAUCGCCACCACCUCUCUCUGUGCAUGGCUCGUUUCUUUAUCCAAAGAGACCCGUUGCCCGUGACUCUGGUCCGCGUCGUCACGGUGCGGGUCGCCUUCACGCACACUCACACACUGGGUCACGACAGACAAAAAAAAACCGGCAAGGAAUGCCGCUCCUACACACCUGGGUGCCCCCCACACACACACAGGGUUCGGCCGUGCCCGUUGCGCCCAUCUUAUAUAUGUAUGUAUAUACGAGAUGU